rnacentral:rRNA from 1 species
GUGAAGCGGGAAGAGCUCAAAUUUGAAAUCUGGUAGCCUUCGGUUGCCCGAGUUGUAAUCUAGAGAAGUGUUUUCCGCGUUGGCCCAUGUACAAGUCCCUUGGAACAGGGCGUCAUAGAGGGUGAGAAUCCCGUCCUUGACAUGGACCCCCAAUGCUUUGUGAUACACUUUCAACGAGUCGAGUUGUUUGGGAAUGCAGCUCAAAAUGGGUGGUGAAUUCCAUCUAAAGCUAAAUAUUGGCGAGAGACCGAUAGCGAACAAGUACCGUGAGGGAAAGAUGAAAAGCACUUUGGAAAGAGAGUUAAACAGUACGUGAAAUUGUUGAAAGGGAAACGAUUGAAGUCAGUCAUGCUCUUUGGAUUAAGCCGUUCUGCGGUGUAUUUCAUUGAGCGGGGUCAACAUCAGUUUUGAUCGCUGGAAAAGGGCAGGAGGAAGGUAGCACUCUCGGGUGAACUUAUAGCCUCUUGUCGUAUACAGUGAUUGGGACUGAGGAACGCAGCAUGCCUUUUGGCCGGGAUUCGUCCACGUACAUGCUUAGGAUGUUGACAUAAUGGCUUUAAACGACCCGUCUUGAACCACGGACCAAAA